CGUCUAGAAGAGAAGGCUAAGAAGGCAGAGGAAUUGCAUGCUGCUGAAGUGAAAGUACGCAAGGAAUUGGAAGCCCUCAAUGCUAAGCUGUUGGCUGAAAAGACUGCCCUUUUAGAUUCGUUGUCUGGUGAGAAGGGUCAAUUGCAGGACUUCCAGGAGAGAAACGCUAAAUUGACUGCCCAAAAGAACGAUCUCGAGAACCAAUUGCGUGAUAUACAAGAUCGUUUGAGCCAAGAAGAGGAUGCCCGUAACCAAUUGUUCCAACAGAAGAAAAAGGCUGAUCAAGAAAUUUCUGGCUUAAAGAAGGACAUUGAAGAUCUCGAAUUGAGCGUUCAGAAGGCCGAACAAGAUAAGGCUACUAAGGAUCACCAAAUCCGUAACUUGAACGAUGAAAUCGCCCACCAAGAUGAACUCAUCAAUAAGUUGAACAAGGAGAAGAAGAUGCAGGGUGAGACAAACCAGAAAACUGGUGAGGAGCUCCAAGCUGCCGAAGACAAAAUCAACCACUUGAACAAAGUUAAGGCUAAACUCGAACAGACUCUUGAUGAAUUGGAAGAUUCAUUGGAACGUGAGAAGAAACUACGAGGAGAUGUUGAAAAGGCCAAACGCAAGGUUGAGGGAGAUUUGAAACUUACCCAGGAAGCCGUAUCUGAUUUGGAACGCAACAAGAAGGAACUAGAACAGACCAUACAACGCAAGGACAAAGAGUUGUCUUCAAUUACUGCCAAAUUGGAAGAUGAACAGGUCGGUGUUGGUAAACACCAACGUCAAAUCAAGGAGUUGCAAGCCCGUAUCGAAGAAUUGGAGGAAGAAGUUGAAGCUGAACGUCAAGCCCGCGCUAAGGCUGAGAAACAACGCGCUGAUUUGGCUCGUGAAUUAGAGGAAUUGGGAGAGCGCUUAGAAGAAGCCGGUGGUGCCACAUCAGCGCAAAUUGAACUCAAUAAGAAACGUGAGGCCGAACUCAGCAAAUUGCGUCGUGAUUUGGAAGAAGCCAACAUUCAGCAUGAGUCCACUUUGGCCAACUUGCGGAAGAAGCACAACGAUGCUGUCGCUGAAAUGGCCGAACAAGUUGAUCAGCUUAACAAACUGAAGGCUAAGGCUGAACACGAUCGCCAGACUUGUCACAAUGAGUUAAAUCAAACUCGUUCCGCCUGCGACCAACUGGCUCGCGAUAAGGCUGCCCAAGAAAAGAUUGCUAAGCAAUUACAACACACCUUGAAUGAAGUUCAAGGUAAAUUGGACGAAACCAACCGCACCCUCAACGAUUUCGACGCCUCCAAGAAGAAGCUGUCGAUCGAAAACUCCGAUCUGUUGCGUCAACUGGAAGAAGCAGAAUCACAGGUGUCGCAAUUGUCCAAGAUCAAGAUCUCCUUGACCACUCAAUUGGAAGAUACUAAGCGUUUAGCUGACGAAGAAUCUCGCGAACGUGCCACCCUCUUGGGCAAGUUCCGCAACUUGGAACACGACCUGGACAAUCUGCGUGAGCAGGUAGAAGAGGAAGCCGAAGGCAAAGCUGAUUUGCAACGUCAACUCAGCAAAGCCAACGCUGAGGCUCAAGUAUGGCGUAGCAAGUACGAAUCGGAUGGUGUUGCUCGUUCUGAAGAAUUAGAGGAAGCCAAGAGGAAAUUGCAGGCUCGAUUGGCUGAGGCUGAGGAAACCAUUGAAUCUCUCAAUCAAAAAUGCAUUGGUCUCGAAAAGACUAAGCAACGUCUGGCUACUGAAGUAGAAGAUUUGCAAUUGGAAGUAGAUCGUGCCAACGCCAUUGCUAAUGCUGCCGAAAAGAAACAGAAGGCCUUUGAUAAGAUCAUUGGCGAAUGGAAACUUAAGGUUGAUGACUUGGCUGCUGAACUGGAUGCUUCACAAAAGGAAUGCCGCAACUAUUCCACCGAAUUGUUCCGUCUCAAGGGUGCCUACGAAGAAGGACAAGAACAGUUAGAAGCCGUGCGUCGUGAAAACAAGAAUCUCGCUGAUGAAGUUAAGGAUCUACUAGACCAAAUCGGUGAAGGUGGCCGUAACAUUCACGAAAUCGAAAAGGCACGCAAACGCUUGGAAGCUGAAAAGGAUGAGCUUCAAGCUGCACUCGAGGAAGCUGAGGCCGCCCUGGAACAAGAAGAAAACAAGGUAUUGCGCGCACAAUUGGAAUUAUCUCAGGUUCGUCAAGAGAUCGACCGCCGUAUUCAAGAGAAGGAAGAAGAAUUCGAAAAUACCCGCAAAAAUCAUCAACGCGCUCUCGAUUCCAUGCAAGCCUCUCUUGAAGCCGAAGCAAAGGGCAAGGCUGAGGCGCUGCGCAUGAAGAAGAAAUUGGAAGCCGAUAUCAAUGAGCUGGAAAUUGCCCUGGAUCAUGCUAACAAGGCUAACGCCGAGGCCCAGAAGAACAUCAAACGUUACCAACAACAGCUUAAAGAUAUCCAAACCGCCCUUGAAGAAGAACAGAGAGCCCGCGAUGACGCUCGCGAGCAAUUGGGUAUAUCCGAACGCCGUGCCAAUGCCCUCCAGAACGAACUCGAGGAAUCCCGCACUUUGCUUGAGCAAGCCGAUCGUGGUCGUCGCCAAGCCGAACAAGAAUUGGCUGAUGCCCACGAACAACUCAAUGAAGUUUCCGCCCAAAAUGCUUCUAUCUCAGCGGCCAAGAGGAAAUUGGAAUCUGAACUACAAACACUCCACUCCGAUUUGGACGAAUUGUUAAAUGAAGCGAAGAACUCGGAAGAGAAAGCCAAGAAGGCUAUGGUUGACGCUGCACGCCUUGCUGAUGAGCUCCGCGCUGAACAAGAUCAUGCACAGACCCAAGAGAAACUGCGCAAGGCCUUGGAGCAACAAAUUAAGGAAUUGCAAGUCCGUUUGGAUGAGGCUGAAGCUAACGCACUGAAGGGUGGUAAGAAGGCUAUCCAAAAAUUGGAACAACGCGUCCGCGAGUUAGAGAACGAAUUGGAUGGUGAACAGAGGAGACAUGCUGAUGCCCAAAAAAAUCUACGCAAAUCUGAACGUCGUAUUAAGGAAUUGAGCUUCCAAUCUGAGGAAGAUCGUAAAAAUCACGAACGUAUGCAAGACUUGGUUGAUAAACUGCAACAAAAGAUCAAGACCUACAAGAGGCAAAUCGAGGAAGCCGAAGAAAUUGCUGCCCUUAACUUGGCCAAAUUCCGGAAGGCACAGCAAGAACUUGAAGAAGCUGAGGAGCGCGCUGACUUGGCCGAACAGGCUAUCAGCAAAUUCCGCGCUAAAGGACGUGCAGGCUCAGUUGGACGUGGUGCCAGCCCAGCGAAUUGAAUGCGACAUAGCCAAUGAUCCAGCGAUAAAGUGGUGAUGUGAUCAAACACAACACAUGAGAAGCAAAAGCAAAGAGAAUUUUAGUUCAUAGGCAGCCAAAACUGAAAGUCUAAAAUAAUUGAUAAAAUUAAAAAAUACUUACGCCAUCUAAGAUUCAAAUUAUUUUUAAUCAUGAAAAGAACAUUUUAGAAAAGUUUAGUUGAAUUAGCAAUCAUCAUUACCUCGAUUAAAAAAUAAUUUAAAAGCUGAAUUAAUAUUUAAAAAUAACAAAAAUAUCUUGAAUACUUCUACUUUUUUAUUAUUAAAUAUGUAUGUGUAUACUGUAGCCGACAUCGUCAAAAGGUGGCCGCCAGAAUACGCUGGACCAAUAAUUACUUCUCAUUACAUUUCCCCGAGCGAUGUCCGUACGGCCACAACUUGACGGAUUGGCUUUCCCACCAAGAUUCGACCUUGCACCGGAAAACGAAUUCUAAAUGCCAUUUCUGUACUUCGUUUAUAAAAAAUUAUUUUAAAAUAAUAUUUCAUAAUUAUUUGUUAUGUUUAAUUUAAUUUAAACUAUUUACAAUAUUUUUUUGUUUAUUUUAUUUAAAUAAAACAAAAACCAUGUAUAAUUCGAACGACGGGAGGAAAAUGCACUUAGGCAAAAACAUCUCUUAAAAAAUAAAAAAUAAAAAUAAAAAUACCAAAAACAAACAACAAACGAAUGUAAAACAAAAAACAAUGAAACAAAUAAAAAACCAACAUUAGCAUAAGCUCACAGCUAUGACGAAAUUUGUUCUUGUUAGUUAAAGUACGUACGUCACAUACGAUUUACGCAAAAUUCGGAAAAUCUUUGAGUUGUACUAAAGUCAGUCCAGCCCGUAUGUAUUGUAUUUAAUUUUUGCUUUUAUACAAAUAAUGACUUAAUUUACAACACCUAUAGAUAUAUUUACAUGCGAUUUAUAAAAAUAGUACGAAUCCGUACAACUAAGACACGAGUAAGAGUUAUUUCGAAAACAAUAAAAACUG